ensembl:snRNA
GUUUACUUAAUAGCUAGAGAGGUUAGCACCCCCUUUGACAAGGAUGGAAGAGUCCCUCAGGCCUGACAAAUAAAAUUAAAAAAUAGCUGUAAAACCAGUAAAGAUUGUACUAAAUGCUGUCUUGU